GGCGGGUUGUAUCGCCAGUGUCCUCGAUUGAAAACGUGCUCACGAUAGUGUUCACGAAUAGUGACAUCACUCGGUGCGAUCGUUGCUAGUGCGUUUUGGCACGAUCACUAAACUGGUUGGCUAGGACUUAACAGCUAAAAAUCAAAGUCCCCAACGUGAGGAUAGAACUUUUCAGUUGAGGUUCUAAAACCCACACAAUCGUGGGUCCAAGUGUGGGCCCAGCCGAGACGAGGUGCACUUGGCCUAAGCAUUUCCGGCCGCCACGUGCCUCGUGGAUCGCUUGCAGAUCGGUAAGGUCGUCCGUAGCAGACAACUGGUGAGCUCAGAAGAAACCAAAAAAAUUAACCAUCUACCUGAAACAUUGUAAAGUCAUUAUGGGGCCCCUAAGAAGAAGAAGACGCAAUAACAUGUACAUGACCACUAAGAU